UAGGGAAUCUUCCACAAUGGGCGAAAGCCUGAUGGAGCAACGCCGCGUGUGUGAUGAAGGCUUUCGGGUCGUAAAGCACUGUUGUAUGGGAAGAACAGCUAGAAUAGGAAAUGAUUUUAGUUUGACGGUAUUUAACCAGAAAGCCACGGCUAACUACGUGUCAG
rnacentral:rRNA from 1 species